CCUACGGGAGGCAGCAGUGGGGAAUAUUGCACAAUGGGCGCAAGCCUGAUGCAGCGACGCCGCGUGAGGGAUGACGGCCUUCGGGUUGUAAACCUCUUUCAGUAGGGAAGAAGCGAAAGUGACGGUACCUGCAGAAGAAGCGCCGGCUAACUACGUGCCAGCAGCCGCGGUAAUACGUAGGGCGCAAGCGUUAUCCGGAAUUAUUGGGCGUAAAGAGCUCGUAGGCGGUUUGUCGCGUCUGCCGUGAAAGUCCGGGGCUCAACUCCGGAUCUGCGGUGGGUACGGGCAGACUAGAGUGAUGUAGGGGAGACUGGAAUUCCUGGUGUAGCGGUGAAAUGCGCAGAUAUCAGGAGGAACACCGAUGGCGAAGGCAGGUCUCUGGGCAUUAACUGACGCUGAGGAGCGAAAGCAUGGGGAGCGAACAGGAUUAGAUACCCUGGUAGUCCAUGCCGUAAACGUUGGGCACUAGGUGUGGGGGACAUUCCACGUUUUCCGCGCCGUAGCUAACGCAUUAAGUGCCCCGCCUGGGGAGUACGGCCGCAAGGCUAAAACNCAAUGAAUUGACGCGNGAGACGUGCGACGACGACGACGAGGGAGAGG
rnacentral:rRNA from 1 species